rnacentral:rRNA from 1 species
GAUGAACGCUAGCGGCAGGCCUAACACAUGCAAGUCGAGGGAGGAGCUUUCGGGCUUCGACCGGCGUACGGGUGCGUAACGCGUAUACAAUCUGCCUUUCACAUAGGGAUAGCCCGAAGAAAUUUGGAUUAAUACCUAAUGGUAUAUAGGAGUGGCAUCACAUUUAUAUUAAAGCUGAGGCGGUGAAAGAUGAGUAUGCGUUCUAUUAGCUAGUUGGAGAGGUAACGGCUCCCCAAGGCGACGAUAGAUAGGGGUUCUGAGAGGGAUAUCCCCCACACUGGUACUGAGAUACGGACCAGACACCUACGGGAGGAAGCAGUGAGGAAUAUUGGACGAUGGUCGGAAGACUGAUCCAGCCAUGCCGCGUGCAGGAAGACGGCCUUAUGGGUUGUAAACUGCUUUUGCAGGGGAAGAAUAAGGACUACGAGUAGUUUGAUGACGGUACUCUGCGAAUAAGCAUCGGCUAACUCCGUG